CUUGAGGGGCUCCCAGUCAGAUCCCACCACUCCUCGCAGUGUUCCUUGCUCACAUCUGGGUCUUGGUGUCCUUUGCCUUCCCCACUGACUUCCUUCCGUAGCUCCUGCUGCUCUCCUGUUGCUGGGCUCGCUGCUCAGGCUGGAUCUAGUGGUCAUCUUAGUCCAUAGGAGCUGACUGUCACCUGCAGCACAGAGCUGACGUGUGGAGUGUUGUAGGGGAGGCUCUCGCUGCCUGUCUCUUGUUAUCAGGUUGGUUUCUGGUGACAGCCACUGUCGGCUUCAUGCGGAGGUAGAGGCACAGAACCUUGUGUUGUCUGCCUGGAGAUGUGGAAUUUGGUGCUUCUGCUGCUUCUGAACCCUUUAAAACCCCAUUUCCAGAGCACAUUCAGCAUCCAAAGGGUGUUCCUGCCUUUCUGCAGAGGAUCCAGGCCAGCUCUUGACUACACAUCCACUGCUUUGGAAAGCCUGGCAUUCCCUGAUAGCAAAACCACAUGCAGGGAGCAGCGGUCCCCUCUCCUCCUCAUGGCUGGUGCAGACAUCUCCGGUGAGCUGAGGACCUGCCUGCAGUGCCCAUUUCCAGCUGUCUUCCUGCCUUCAUCCUGGAUGUGCCCUGUGCUUUCCUCAGUGUCAGGUGUGAUGUGGGUGAUGCUGAUGGUGGCACAACCAGCUCUUCCCCCCCCAGCUCCCAGUUGUACACCUACCUCUGCAGUAGGGAUGCUGUACCCUGGUGUCAGCUCGAAGCUGGAGGCAGCCUGGCUUUCCAGAGCAGGAAUCCCAAUGGAUGAGGUGUUGGCUUUGUCAACACUGAAGGCUGAACAGGACAUCCUGAGGUCUUACUCCUCAGCCUUGCUUCCAUCCUCUAGCCUGGUACCAUCACCUCAUGCAGUCUGUGUGUGUGCAGGUAUCCUUCCUCUCCCACCUUGUUUUGCUGUUCCUGCAGGCCAUGGUUGGGAGCUCUCCCCUCUUCCUCCCUGCCCCACAUCCCUGCAGUGGGUCUGAGCUGGC
rnacentral:lncRNA from 14 species